rnacentral:lncRNA from 1 species
UGUCUUCUAUGGGAUGCCAACAUUAAAAGGAGAUCAAUUUUGUAUGAGAUUAAGAGUGAUUUUUGGCAUGAGAAACUUGAGAGUGGGGAUGUGAAAAGUUGAGAGUGGGUUGGGCUUCCAUGCAUGAGAAACAGAGGAAGUGUUCUUCCUCUCGGGUGUGAGCUGUGGGUUCUAGGGUUUCAACUCUAAGUUUUGUGAGAAGA